GGAGGAAAAGAAACCAACAGGGAUUGCCUUAGUAGCGGCGAGUGAAGCGGCAAAAGCUCAAAUUUGAAAUCUGGCACUUUCAGUGUCCGAGUUGUAAUUUGAAGAAGGUAUCUUUGGGUCUGGCUCUUGUCUAUGUUUCUUGGAACAGAACGUCACAGAGGGUGAGAAUCCCGUGCGAUGAGAUGACCCAGACCUAUGUAAAGUUCCUUCGAAGAGUCGAGUUGUUUGGGAAUGCAGCUCUAAGUGGGUGGUAAAUUCCAUCUAAAGCUAAAUAUUGGCGAGAGACCGAUAGCGAACAAGUACAGUGAUGGAAAGAUGAAAAGAACUUUGAAAAGAGAGUGAAAAAGUACGUGAAAUUGUUGAAAGGGAAGGGCUUGAGAUCAGACUUGGUAUUUUGUAUGUUACUCUCUCGGGGGUGGCCUCUACAGUUUACCGGGCCAGCAUCAGUUUGGGCGGUAGGACAAUUGCAAAGAAAUGUGGCACUGCCUCGGUAGUGUGUUAUAGUCUUUGUCGAUACUGCCAGCCUAGACUGAGGACUGCGGCUUCGGCCUAGGAUGUUGGCAUAAUGAUCUUAAGUCGCCCGUCUU
rnacentral:rRNA from 1 species